rnacentral:rRNA from 1 species
AUUGAACGCUGGCGGCAGGCUUAACACAUGCAAGUCGAGCGGGGAAAGGUAGCUCGCUACCUGACCUAGCGGCGGACGGGUGAGUAAUGCUUAGGAAUCUGUCUAUUAGUGGGGGACAACAUUCCGAAAGGAAUGCUAAUACCGCAUACGCACUACGGGGGAAAGCAGGGGAUCUUCGGACCUUGAGGUAAUAGAUGAGCCUAAGUCAGAUUAGCUAGUUGGUGGGGUAAAGGCCUACCAAGGCGACGAUCUGUAGCGGGUCUGAGAGGAUGAUCCGCCACACUGGGACUGAGACACGGCCCAGACUCCUACGGGAGGCAGCAGUGGGGAAUAUUGGACAAUGGGCGGAAGCCUGAUCCAGCCAUGCCGCGUGUGUGAAGAAGGCCUUUUGGUUGUAAAGCGCUUUAAGCGAGGAGGAGGCUACUUGGAUUAAUACUCUAGGAUAGUGGACGUUACUCGCAGAAUAAGCACCGGCUAACUCUGUGCCAGCAGCCGCAGUAAUAC